rnacentral:rRNA from 1 species
AUUGAACGCUGGCGGCAGGCCUAACACAUGCAAGUCGAACGAUUGGCGGACGGGUGAGUAAUGUCUGGGAAACUGCCCUAUGGAUGGGGAUAUCUACUGGAAACGGUAGCUAAUCCCUCAUACCAUCGGAUUUGCCCAGAUGGGUUUGGCUAGUAGGUGGGGUAACGGCUCACCUAGGCGACGGUCCCUAGCUGGUAUGAGAGGAUGACCAGCCACACGGGAACUGAGACACGGCCCAGACUCCUACGGGAGGCAGCAGUGGGGAAUAUUGCACAAUGGGAGCAAGCCUGAUGCAGCCAUGCCGCGUGUAUGAAGAAGGCCUUCGGGUUGUAAAGUACUUUCAGCGAGGAGGCGUUACUCGCAGAAGAAGCACCGGCUAACUCCGUGCCAGCAGCCGCGGUAAUUC